UUUGACCUCGGAUCAGGUAGGAAUACCCGCUGA
rnacentral:rRNA from 6 species